CUUCCUCUCUUUUUUUCAUGGUUUCUCUUCCUCUCUAUCGAUCUCUUAGAAGAAAUAGGGUUCUUCUCAACUUCUUCUUUUUUUGGCUGUUCUCCGUUUUUUUUCUUCUCAAAAGCAUGAACUGAGAAAUUGUUCAUAUCAAUUAAGAAGAAAUCUGGAAAAGUAAAUGGUACAGGAAAGGAAUUACUGAGGUUGUGAAUUUGAUUUUGGUUAGGGUUCUUAUUAAUUGAAGAACGACGAAUCAGUAAGAAAUAAAAUUAGGGUUUCUGGUGUUAGUAUUGAUUUUGUACAAAAUCGAAGGAGAAGAUGGUGGAUAUGUAUUAACUCGGGUUAUAAAGGCUAUGGUGAAUCAGAGAUACGAAGUCAGGGUUCUGAAAUUGAUUUAAGGUUCGAUUUAGUGAUAGAUAAGAAGAAAUCAAAGACUGGGUUUGGUGGUCUGAGAUGUGAAUCGAUGUUUUGAGACUGGAUUUCAAGGUGAAGAGAUGGUAGUUUUUCUGUUGAUCUCUCUAUGGAAAACAUGAUGAGGACAAUACAGGGUUGGUGGUGAAUCUGUGUGGUCUGAGAUCAAGAUAAGAUAGUGAUUGAAUGGUGUAGUGAAAGGGUAGCUGUUGAUUUUAGAUGAAAGGGUUUGAGUAUGAAGAUGAAGUGAUGUUGGUAUGUAGCUGGAUUGAGUAUGUGUGCAGAUUUCUUGCUGGAAAAAUGGUUGUUAUGUGGUAGCUGCAAUGGAAUAGAAGAUAGAGCCAAUAGUGCUGCAGGAUGAGUCAGUGUUGGUAGUUGCUGUGCAGGAAAGAGGAUUCAAGGAACACACAUUGAUUGAAUCAAAGCCUGAUCAUUUCUUGGAUGAUCUCUGAUUAAAUUAUCCAUGGCCUAAACACAAACGGUACAGUCUCUUCACGUCAUCCCCUAUCAAAUUGCUCGACCAAACUCUUGACUUGUAUUUGACAAUUUUCACACACAACUCUAAUAAUGGGCAAAUGCACAUAAUGGUUCUCUGCCUUCAACCAAAGAGGAGAAAGAGAGCUUAAGGCAACUGCUGGUGGUGGUGGAUGUGGUAUACAUCUCGCAAAAGAACCCGAGGAGUUUGUCGACACUGACAAGGCUAUUGAAACUUCCCACUGUGCUCUAUUCUUUACCCAGUUCUCGCAUGGUUGGGCUCGUCCCUUUGUUGCUAAAGUCAAAUGCUGCACAGAGUUUGAUCGAAGAUUACACAGCUUGCUUAGAGUUAGGUUCGGAAGAGCCUCAGACCAUAGAAGACACCAAAGAUGACAUAGGAGUUCUUAUCAUUCAGCUGCUCCUCGAAAAUAUCAACCGCCCACCCCCAAAUAUCACACAUUCGCUUCUCAAGUUUCAUGUGGAUGUGUCAGUAGAGCGGACAGUUCUACAACCAAAGUUUCAUUACAGUUGCUUGAAGGUGAUUCUUGAUAUUCUCGAAUACCUCUCCAAGCCAUAAGUUAAAGCUUUGCUGCAUGAAUUUGUAUUUAAGAUCUGGUGGUACUGCUUUUUAGUAUUAUGGGUUAGGCAUGGCAAGGGAAUGGACUCUGCGGGCUGGCCAAAGUGUGGUUUCAGCUAAAUAUUUUAUGACCUUUGUGCACUGCCUCAUCUUUGUCAUGACCCAUGUGCAUCACAAGUGGAGAACAAAGCAGCUUCAAGUUUUGUAAGUUCCAUAUAUUCAAGUUUUGUAGGAAGUUAGUAAGUUUAUGUAUUCCCUUGGAAAUUUGUUAGUAAGUUUCUGUAUUCCUUUGGAAAUUUGACAAUUAGCAAGAAAAAAAAUUGGUACUUAGAGAAAUUUCAGUUCUUUCGUUAUAUGUGAAUCUCAUAUGAAUUUAAGGAAUGUGAUAUGAAUAGUUUGAAGAAAUUAUUGUUGAGUGUGGAUGAUGAAUGUAUUGAAAGGUGUAUCAAGGGUAUUAAAUUUAGA